rnacentral:ribozyme from 1 species
UGCUCAGCAACUCCUAUCCCUACCUCCUCGUGGUACCGGCCGGCAAUCCUAGAGAAAAUCGGGUAACCAAUUCCGGUGGGUACUUUGGUCGUAGGCUGACAGGGAAGG